CUGGGCAUUAUCCAAUCAAAAACCCGGCUUCAAGCCCAGAGUCAGGAACACACAGCUCCUCUUCCCUUGGAUACAAAACUCAGACUGUGGGGGGAGGGGGGACCUCGGAAGCAGGAAAGUCUCUUAACCAACUGCCCCAGGUGAUGCGGAGGGAGCCACACACCUGCCCUGAGCGCACCUGCCCUGGGCGUACCUGUCCUGGGCACACCUGCCCUGAGCCCACCUGCCCUGUGUGCUCACCUGCCCUGAGCUCACCUGCCCUGAGCACCAGCAGGGUGGCUGGGCUGCACCAGGCCUCCGUGGCCUGUCUGGGAGCCUCACGUCCAUGUGCCGUGGACAAGCCUACGCAGUGAUUAUACGUCGAAACAAAGGAAUCGCAUACUAGCAGAUGCAUGAGAACAGACACUUCGGAGAAAAGCCAAAAGUGAAAACAUUUCUGCCCCGGGAGGACCUACGGCGACAUGCCUGCGCCCCACCAAGGACACGCCAGACAGUCCCCAAGCACUGCAAUGCCCCAGAGCCCGCCUGCCCUCGCCAGCACGGCUCCCUGCUGGGCCCCCCAUCGCUGCCCUUCUGUGGCAGCAGUCCCAGCCGCUGGAACUCCCACCCCAGGACUCAGCUCCUCCUGGUUCCAGGUCCACAGCAGCAGCCAUGGGAGCUUCCUCACCCUGCGCCUGCAUCUACACAGCUGUAAACGGGGUGUGUGUUCAUGAAACCCGAAACCCGCUUGCUUCAGUGAGGGGUCUGUUGUGCUCCGCACCCCGCCUCCUCUCGGAGUCAGUGAGACCCAGCAAGGGCAUUUCAAAACGCCCCUGAAAACUGCGAGACCCCAGGCAAAGCAGGAGGUAGAGGGGGGCUUUCUGGGAGAGAGGCCAGUGCUAAGCAGGGUCCCGUCCCUCCUACCCUGGGCUGGGGGGUCUGUGGGAACGGGAGGCUGGGGGCGCCUUUUCUGUUCCAUGACACUCAUUUUCUUCAAUAUUGUUCUUUUUGAAAAGCAAUUCGGAUAGGAGGGCCAAGCACAGCGCAAGCAUUAGCCGUUGGCCAGAUGUGAAAAAUGGCUUCAGGGCCCAAGUUUUUUCCACUGACUCACUAAAGAAUUAAAUUACCCCAUCCAGAAAACCUC